rnacentral:lncRNA from 1 species
UAGAUAUAAAACAAUUCAGAGGUAUAAAAUGCAAUAAAAAAGUGUACAAGCCCAAAUCUCUAGCAUACUGCCAAUCAAAAGAUGAUUGUUAUUCAUAAAGUAUCUCAAAAAGGAACAUUAGACUAUUUCCAGAAAUCCUGGUUGCUUUAUUAUUCACUUAUUAUUUAUUACCCCAGGAAAAUAAAUUUUAGGAAGUUUCUACUUUGAGUGUCUUUCUUCUAAGUUGCAAAUACAAAUAAAUGCUUAUUUGGAAUUAUAACUAUACUGGAAGCUCAUGUUUCAAAUAAAGCUAUUUAUAUAUAGCUUCAUCAUUGUUUGAAUGCUUAUCAUUGCAGCCUCAUUACAAAGAACACCUAAAAGAUUUUUUUUCCACAAAAAUUAGGGGAGCUACCAUAAUACAUGGCAGAAACAGAUUUCCUGCCCCCUGCCAUAACUAUCAUUUACCAACAUUCAAUCGAAUUUAAGAAUUGGGGGAAUUUCAGAGAGUAUCCUAAUUCACUUCCUAAUUCACUUCCUCUAGAUACCACCACUCAAAGAUUCCCGUGGUUCCCAGAGCCUUCACUUGACAUUCACACAACUUUGACCAGGAAAGAAGGGUGCGCCACCUCCACCUGUGCCUCUGCCUCUAUACUAGAAAGGAUUAGGCAGAGAAAGAGAUUCAAACAGUGGAAGGAAAAGAAGGUAUUGGGAAGCCAGGAUGGUUUGUUGGGGCAAAAUAUUCUCUUGUCACACAGAUGGCUCUCUUCUUGGUGGUGCCCCAGCCCACCCUCAAGGGUGUCUAUAAAUGGGAGAAGAGAAAAGCACUAAUUAUGAUUGUAACAUAAUUAAAUAAUUUAUGAAGGAUAAAAUAUCAGAGUCAUGAGAGCUCUGAAAGAAUAGGUAGACUACAUGCAUCUUACCUACACAUUGAGUAUUAAAAAUCCUAGCUGCCCUCUGCAGUGAUGCCCCACCCAGAAGACCAAUCCAUUGGAACUAUUGCAAUCUGAUCAGAUUAAACACACCAAGGUCACUCUGAAAGUAUGGAGGAAAAC